rnacentral:lncRNA from 1 species
UCUCUUCUUUUAUUAUUAAUUUACUACUUCUCUAAGCGAUAAGAUAAUUAAUAAACAAACACAUGUCAUUUGUUAAUGCGAAUUGUCGAUUAUCUAGGUGAUAAAAUAAAUAAAAAACAUAGAAAUAAGAUAAGCGAGGAGAAAGAAACGACAUACUUUAUAAUAAAAAGGGGACUACUUUAUAAUAAACUAGCUACCCCAAAUAAAUAUGUAAAAUAAAUAAAAAGACUUAAAGAAAUCGUCCGAGUCAAACAAAGAGAUGUUUUGGUUUUAUUUGGAUCAGAAACCCAACUUGUUAAUCAUCAUCCGACCCAAAGGCCGAACUCUUAGACAAGUAAUAAUGUCAUUAGCCUCGCCGUUAAUAUUUGUUGGAAUCAUCAUUUUCGAAGGGGCUACCCGUCCCACCCCACCUAGGCUGGAUGUCAAGUCUAGGGGCUUCCUAUGACAAGGAUAAAACUAACGUUUUAAUAUUACUUAUCAUCCCACCAAUCGUCCAAGAGGCAUUGGACUUUACUAUUUUGGAGUUUGUGUUCUAGACUAAAAGAAAGCUAUAUUGCCUGGGAAUCAAAGCGUGAACAUAUUGGACAAAAAGUAACACGUAAUAAUCCCAAAUUAGCCUCUUGAUUGAUUGACGUUUAUUAUUGAUAGCAUGCGAAGACAAAUAAUUAUUUGUUACGUCAUUAACCUAUAAUCAUGGUGUCUGAAUGAUCAACAAUUCAUGAUAAAAAACUGAGACCCGUGUAUGGAACAACCUUAUGUAUGUUCAUAAGAGGUGUCAAAAGUGUGGUAAAUGUGUCAAGAAAAUGUGCUUGUGAAUUAAGUGUGAUAAAAUAUAAACGAGAACAUAAGAAAUCAACAAGAAUAUUAAAAGACAUUAACCUAUUAAUGAUGCCAUGAUAUACUUAUUCUAGUGUUUAAACAUAUCAAAAAGUGUUCAAAAGUAUGCCUUUUUAUAUAACAGCCGUUGUAUUAUUGCAGGAAUUUCAUAGUGACUUGCUGAAAAUGUAUCAAUCAUACUAAAGAUGCCUUAAAGCAAACAUUUUGACAUGCUGAUAUAUUUAAACAUGAUAGAGAUAUGCCAACAUAUAGAAACUUUAACAUGCUGGAAGUAGUUAUGUCAUUCUGAAAUUUAUUAGAUGCACAGAAUUUUAAUAUUCUAAUGUUAAUAACAUGCUUAAAUUGUAUAGAUAUACAGAAACAUGAUUUAAACGUGCUGGAAUUUAUUUAAACACGCUGAGAAUGUUAUUGGACAUGCUGAGAGUUAUGUUGAACAUGCUCAAAAAAAUUAAUCAAACAUGCUAUCCAAUUAAUUAAACAUGCUAAAAAUUAAUUAGUCGUACUGAAAAAAUUAAUUAGACAUGAUGAAAAACCAUGCUGAAAAUUGAUUAAUCAUGUGAAAGAAUUAAUCAGAUAUGCUGAAAGAUUAAUUAGACAUGUUGUAAAAUUAAAUAGACAUACUAUACAAUUAAUAAAAUAUAUAAAUAUGCCUAAUAUUUAUCAUGCUGCCAAAUAUACUAAUAUGCUGACAUGCUUGGUGUCAAAUAAUCUACUAAUGUACUUGACAUCAAAUAAUUUAAUAAUAUGUUUGAUGUCAAAUAUGCUAAGAUGUAUUAAUGUCUAUUUUAACUUGUUAAUAUGUGAGAAUCAAUAUGAAUAUCUAGAAUGUGAUAAAAAAUGACUUUGAUGCUCAAAAUACGUGGUAAACCAGAUUCAUCAAUUUCCAUGUUUCCAAACUUAAUAUGUCGAAAUUAAUUAAAAUUUCUAAAGUAGAAUUUCUAGGCGGCCAAGUAAGUAAAUUAAUAGAUUUUAAGUCGCGUUUUUCCUAAGUGUUUCGUAUAGCAUGUAAUACACUUAAAAAAUUUUAAAUUGUGCCUACUACACCAUUCAUAGAGCACAUAAUCCCCGCCCCCCAAAGUAGUCCCCGGAUUCUAUUAUUACAAUAAUAAUGAAUAAUGUUUUUACAAAUAAUAUUUCAAGCCAAAUUGUGCAAAAAAUAAGAAAAAAAAUAACUAACUAUCAAGAAUACAUAGUUAAUUAACUAUCCCGGCGACUCUUCGAAACUUGUAAUUGUCUACUUAAACCUGCGAAAUAAGAUGUAAUGGCAAGCAAAGAAAGAAUAUAUGAUGAACAUCAAAAUUUCCUCUGAAGGUUGUCACGACAUGUGCAGUCAACACACAAAGAAAAGAAAAUUGUGUUGAUUCAAGAACUCACCAGUGAACAGCGAUAAAGAGAGACUAAGAAAAAUCAAGUACACGAAUAGCGAAAUAUGCAAGAUGUUAACAACAACCUCCAAAGAGAAACAAAAGCACUUAAAGAUAUUAAUUACCUUUGUAAAAAAAAUAGCCAAUGAUUUUUUGUUAAGAGUAGUAAUAAUUGUAAUUGUGAGAAUUGAGAACUUUUGACUGUGUCCCCUUUUGUGAAUAAAGGGAUGGGUUUAUAUAGUGGGAGGAUUACGAAAGUAAAGGUAGAAAAAAUCAAUCAAUAAUGAUAAGAAAGGAAACAAAUUAUUCCCAAACCAACAAUCAGGAUCAAUUAAGGAAAAGAGAAUAUUUUUUCGAAUUUAGUCAAUGAGAUUUUCCCUAAAUAGUAAAAUCACACAUUAUACCCAAAUCAGUCCAAGAAAGUAAAAAGGAAAAUAUCCCUUACGCCGGUCAAUCGGACGCACCAUACAUGAAAUUCACCAAAAAUAAGGACCCCCACUUGUGAUCUCAUUAAUUAUUAAAAAUUCUGUAAUUAAAAUGUUACCAUAAAUCAGUCCAGUUUUUUAAAAAAACAUUCCAUACCAUACAAGAAUAAAAGAUUAGGAAAAUCACAGACAUACCCAAUUUACCUAGAAUAGGCAAGGACAAGAGCUAUCACACAAUUUCAUCCCAAUCAUAUAUCAAUAAAAAAAUCCUACUUGAUUGUAGAUAAAUCGGAGCCUACUAUAAUCAGCUGUCGUAAUACUUCUAUCUCACCAAAUAAAGAUGGCUGCAAAUUCAAAUUUUAAACAGAUGACCCAAGCACAUUUUAGACCAAAUAGUGAAGGAUAUUAGAUUUAGAGAUAUCAUAUUUCAAAUUACUAAAUUAAAAUAAUGAAACUUGGGGCUUUGAAUAGGUAUGUCAAUCUAGAGACGAACAUAAGCCCAAAAAUUAACAAAUAGGAACAAAAUUCAGAGUCACAGUAUCAUAAUUUAUAAAGCUGCAGGGCUGCGAUUUGCAAUCAUAGCAAACAAUCAUGCAUGUUAACCAAAGGAAACAAUCAUGUAAUUAAGAGUUUGAGAAAUCAAACCAGAUAGAAAUAGUCGAUAUUUGUCAAAAGCCUCGCUGUUUAUGACAACUAGACAGUGACAAUAAGGAUAUUUUGUUGACCAGAGAGGCAAGAGUAAAGCAACGGUGGCAGUGAGGAAAUGGAUCGAUUGGAUGGUGGGGAGGUCCAUUGUUGUUGGUGGCGGUGAAUACGGAUGAUGGGACACGGAGGAGGGGGUUGUCGUCGCUGGUCAUUGCCCGAUAUGGAACCUUCUCCGGUGGUUGAGGCAGUGGUGGCUCGUGGCAGUGUUAAUGGUGAACAGAGAGACAAAGGUGGGACGUCGUCAUGGCACCGCCACCGCCACCCUUGAUUUGGGAGAGAGAGGAAGCAUUUUUGAGAGAGAAGGAGGCUGAUGGGAAAGAGAGGGAUG